GGAGGAUUGGCCGAGCGGCUUAAGGCACCAUCUUGGAAAGGUGGCGAAGUGUUAUGCUUCCGAGAGUUCGAAUCUCUUGUCCUCCGCCA
rnacentral:tRNA from 1 species